rnacentral:lncRNA from 10 species
AGGCUACUUCCUGGACUCUGCUGGGAUGGGUUCAAAGUAGAGAAAGUGGAAGAGGAAAGAGUUACCCCAGCGAGAACCGGGAACCGGGCUGCAGACUCUCCGGCCCGGGGGAGGGAUGAGUUUCACUCUGGUUGCCCAGGCUGGAGUGCAAUGGCGCGAUCUCGGCUCACCGCAACCUCUGCCUCCCGGAUUCAAGCGAUUCUCCUGCUUCAGCCUCCCGAGUAGCUGGGAUUACAGGACCUGGGAAAGCUUCCUCCAGCCCUGAUGCUGGCCUGCAGUAUGGCACUUGACAGCUACUGGUAUUGUGGAUAGAAGCAAAGGCUCUGGACUCAGCAACACUUGGUUUGAAUUCCAGUUCUACCACUUACUAGCUGUGGUGCUGCUGACAACUUAAACUCCAUGAACCUCAGUUUUCUUCAUCUGUAAGGUGGGAUAACAGUACUUCUCUAAUAGGGAUAUUGUGAGGAUCAAAUAUGAUGAUCUAAAGCAGUUAGCACAAUAUCUUGCACAUAGUAAGUGCUUAAUAAGUGGCAGUUAUUAUUUCAUACAUUAUAAGGUGAUACCCCUGAACUU